CAAAAAGAAAUUGAUGCAUGUAAACUCUCUUUGGAUUUACGUCUGUCCAAAGUGGAGCUAGUUAUGGAAAAACUACACGAGCAUCGCCUCGCUCUAACAAAGGCCAAAUCCACUAAAACAAAGACCUCAAAGGGUAAGAAAACCUCACACAGCGGUAGCUCUAACGUGUCAGACAUGUCAAGUCUAGCACGGAGGAAGCGUGCCAAAGCAGAGGCUGCUAAAUCAAAAAUAGCCUUUGUUGAACAACAUUCACUUAUCCUACAACAAGAGGCAAUGAUAGAGGAACAAGCCCUGUUCAGACAAUCUGAAAUGGAACAGGAAGCAGCGCGCAAAAAGGCUGAAAUGGAACAGGAAGCCACACUUAAAAAGGCUGAAAUG
rnacentral:lncRNA from 1 species